UACGUAGGGUGCAAGCGUUAAUCGGAAUUACUGGGCGUAAAGCGUGCGCAGGCGGUUGUGCAAGACAGAUGUGAAAUCCCCGGGCUCAACCUGGGAAUUGCAUUUGUGACUGCACGGCUAGAGUGUGUCAGAGGGGGGUAGAAUUCCGCGUGUAGCAGUGAAAUGCGUAGAUAUUGGGAGGAACACCGGUGGCGAAGGCGGCCCCCUGGACCGGUACUGACGCUGAGGCGCGAAAGCGUGGGUAGCAAACGGG
rnacentral:rRNA from 1 species